GGGUCAGUAGGUUGGUCGUGCCACCGGUACGUACUGGUCUCACUGAUUCCUCCUUCCUGAAGAACCGUAAUGCCAUUAAUUUGGUGUUGCGGGGAAACAGGACUGUUACUUUGAGAAAAUUAGAGUGUUUAAAGCAAGCUAACGCUUGAAUACAUUAACAUGGAAUAAUGAAAUAGGACGAUCGAUCCUAUUUUGUUGGUUUCUAGGAUUGACGUA
rnacentral:rRNA from 1 species